rnacentral:rRNA from 1 species
GACGAACGCUGGCGGCGUGCCUAAUACAUGCAAGUAGAACGCACAGUUUAUACCGUAGCUUGCUACACCAUAGACUGUGAGUUGCGAACGGGUGAGUAACGCGUAGGUAACCUGCCUGGUAGCGGGGGAUAACUAUUGGAAACGAUAGCUAAUACCGCAUAAUAUUAAUUAUUGCAUGAUAAUUAAUUGAAAGGUGCAAUUGCACCACUACCAGAUGGACCUGCGUUGUAUUAGCUAGUAGGUGAGGUAACGGCUCACCUAGGCGACGAUACAUAGCCGACCUGAGAGGGUGAUCGGCCACACUGGGACUGAGACACGGCCCAGACUCCUACGGGAGGCAGCAGUAGGGAAUCUUCGGCAAUGGGCGAAAGUCUGACCGAGCAACGCCGCGUGAGUGAAGAAGGGUUUCGGAUCGUAAAGCUCUGUUGUAAGAGAAGAACGGGUGUGAGAGUGGAAAGUUCACACUGUGACGGUAUCUUACCAGAAAGGGACGGCUAACUACGUG